rnacentral:rRNA from 1 species
AGCGGCGGAUGGGUGAGUAACACGUGGGGAACCUGCCCCUAAGUCUGGGAUACCAUUUGGGAACAGGUGCUAAUACCGGAUAAUAAAGCAGAUCGCAUGAUCAGCUUUUGAAAGGCGGCGUAAGCUGUCGCUAAGGGAUGGCCCCGCGGUGCAUUAGCUAGUUGGUAAGGUAACGGCUUACCAAGGCGACGAUGCAUAGCCGAGUUGAGAGACUGAUCGGCCACAUUGGGACUGAGACACGGCCCAAACUCCUACGGGAGGCAGCAGUAGGGAAUCUUCCACAAUGGACGCAAGUCUGAUGGAGCAACGCCGCGUGAGUGAAGAAGGUUUUCGGAUCGUAAAGCUCUGUUGUUGGUGAAGAAGGAUAGAGGUAGUAACUGGCCUUUAUUUGACGGUAAUCAACCAGAAAGUCACGGCUAACUACGUGCCAGCAGCCGCGGUAAUACGUAGGAGGCAAGCGUUGUCCGGAUUUAUUGGGCGUAAAGCGAGCGCAGGCGGAAAAAUAAGUCUAAUGUGAAAGCCCUCGGCUUAACCGAGGAACUGCAUCGGAAACUGUUUUUCUUGAGUGCAGAAGAGGAGAGUGGAACUCCAUGUGUAGCGGUGGAAUGCGUAGAUAUAUGGAAGAACACCAGUGGCGAACGCGGCUCUCUGGUCUGCAACUGACGCUGAGGCUCGAAAGCAUGGGUAGCGAACAGGAUUAGAUACCCUGGUAGUCCAUGCCGUAAACGAUGAGU